AGUUUGAUUCUGGCUCAGGAUGAACGCUAGCUACAGGCUUAACACAUGCAAGUCGAGGGGCAGCAUGACCUAGCAAUAGGUUGAUGGCGACCGGCGCACGGGUGAGUAACACGUAUCCAACCUACCGGUUAUUCCGGGAUAGCCUUUCGAAAGAAAGAUUAAUACCGGAUAGUAUAGCGAGAAGGCAUCUUCUUGUUAUUAAAGAAUUUCGAUAACCGAUGGGGAUGCGUUCCAUUAGUUUGUUGGCGGGGUAACGGCCCACCAAGACAUCGAUGGAUAGGGGUUCUGAGAGGAAGGUCCCCCACAUUGGAACUGAGACACGGUCCAAACUCCUACGGGAGGCAGCAGUGAGGAAUAUUGGUCAAUGGACGAGAGUCUGAACCAGCCAAGUAGCGUGAAGGAAUGACUGCCCUAUGGGUUGUAAGCUUUCUUUUAUAUGGGAAAUAAAGUGAGCCACGUGUGGUCUUUUUGUAUGUACCAUACGAAUAAGGAUCGGCUAACUCCGUGCCAGCAGCAGC
rnacentral:rRNA from 1 species